rnacentral:tRNA from 1 species
UAUAUUUAAGUGUUAAUGCAUAAGAAUUUUUGAUAUUCUAGGUAAUAAAUAUUAUUUAUUAAAUAUAA